AAAUCAUGACUUAGAUAAUAUAGAAGUAGUUUAUUUCUCUUACACAUAACAGAAGUGCAGAGAUAGGAUACUUUGGAUUGAUAUGCCGGCUCCACAAAGAACCUGGGGGUCCAGGCUCCUUCUAGUCACCACUGCCUUCCUUAGAGUGCGACUCUGGCCCUCAUAGUACAAAAUGGCUGGUAGAGCUCCAGCCACCCUAUCCAUAUUCUAGGCAGCAGAAUGUGGGAAAGGAAAGAGUGAGCAAAGUGUUUACAUCAGCUGUCUAUUAAGAUACUUUCUCAGGGUCACACAAAAUACUUCCACUUAAUUUCACUGGCUAGGAAUUUGUCAUAUGGCCACACACAAUUUUGGUGGGUCUGGGAAAUAUAAAUAUAGCCUUUUAGCUGGGUAAAUUUUAUCAUCCCCCUAAAAACCUGGUGGUCCUAAGACUAAGGAAAACGAGAAGGCCACUAGCACUUUGCCCUAAUUUGGCUGCUUGAGUCACGAAUGAGCACAGACUCUGGGAAACAGACGGCAGGCUUGCUUUGCCAGCUUCACUACCUCAGAGCGAGAUUUUAGAGAGUCCAGUCACUUUCUAACUGGGGUCUGGAAAUAGUCCUAAACAUUGCCAGCUAACUUUUAAAACCGAAAUGUAAUGAGCCCCCAGAGAAGACUUUGAUUCCAGAGCUGUUUAAGGAUGCUCCAAGUCAGAUGUCCAGACGCGCAGGGCCCAUUUCCUGUUGUUUACAACACAUGCACACAUUCCUGCCUGUUGCAGUCUGGAUACAGUUCAUCCUCAUCUUCAGAAAUAGAAGCCUCCUCUGCCUGCCCCCUCCUCCCAUUUUAUAAACCAGUCAGUCUAUUGGACACUCUAGCAAAAUUUCCUGCAUUGGUUUGCUUAGUAAAUUACAGCUCCGGCUCAGUUUGAUGUGAGAAGUAGCAAACCAUCCUGUGUUACUUUUUGCCUUCAUGUAAAGAAAUCACCAGGAACAGCGGAAGAAUCAGAUGAUAGGUUCCUUUUAUGAUCCUUUGCUUAGCCUCCGGCGUUUCGAGUACAGGUUACCUAUGGGCAAAGCUGUACAGGGUCAGCAGGACACCGGGCCUGCCUUCUCCCCAUCCCUAGCCCGGGUUUGAAGAUUCUCAGCAUGUACCUUGCAACACUGCAUCCUACUCAGGGCAGCUGAGAAGCUGCAAGGGAGCAAAAUGGACCUGUGUUCUGGUCUCCCUCCUUUCUAGCUUCCUUGGGUCUGUACUGCAUUUGAAUAAGCCCCCAUGCCCCAGAGAACAGGAAGACACGAUGUGGUUUAUCCCGAACGGAAAGCAACCAAAUCCAAUAAUUGAGCUGUUAACUAAACCAUUGCUAGGAAAGAGACUUAUCAUUGCUUCCUAAAGGAAAAAAGAAACAACAACUUUAAAACCAACUUAAAAUUUCUACCACCCAUGAAAUCACAUGUUUUAGUUCCCGUCAAGUCCUCUGAGGCAGUGUUUUUUUCCUUGGAGGGCACUACGAAGCAGCAGCGUCCAGAGGGAGCCCUUCUGUGGGGCGGGCCUCGAGCUUUAUUUGACUCCCUGUCUCCAUCCUUACCACCACUCUCUACCUGCCCUGCUCUCUGUGCCUCAGUCACAGCAAGGUCGUCCCCCUCUGGGCAUUUGCAGGAACUGCCCCUUCAUCAACUCUGCUCUUUGCUCAGCUCUUCAAUGGCUGGUCACUUCUCAUUAUUCGGUUCCAGUUUAAUGCCAUCUCCUCUAAGAAGACUUUCUGCUCAUCCAGUCUAAAGCAGCCUGACCCCACCCCUCUCUAUCUGCCACCCUGUUUCGUUUUUAUCACAGCAUAGACUGUCGUCUAAUAGUUUCUUGUUUAUUUACUUCUUAUUGUCUGGCCUGCCUCCAUCAGGGUGGCGGCUUCCAGGGUCAGCCUAGCGCCUCAUCAUAUCUGGCAAAAGAGGCAGAGUCUCUCAACCUCGGCACUCUCGACAUGCGGGGCCACGUAACUCCGCGUGUGGGGAGCUGUCCUGUGCACUGAGGAUGUUUAACAACAUCUCUGGCCUCUACCCAUUCGAUGCCUUCUACUUGUGGCGACCAAAAAUGUCUUCAGACGUUGCCAAAUGUCCCUGGGGAAGAAGCUGGCCUGCAGUGGAGGAGCACUGGAUUCGGCUGCUGGCUGUCUUGUUGCCGCUUGGACGUUCGCAAGGCAACUCAGACAGUCACAACAGCUGUGAGCUGCUGAACGCCUACGGGUACUGGGCACUUUUCUGCGGGUUUUACAUUUAAUCGUUACAACAACCCUUACAACAGGCACUAGUUAUCCACAUUUUACAGAUAGGGAAACUGAGGCACAGAGUGAUUGAUAAACUUGUCUAAGUUCUUACCGUUAGUAAGUGGUGAAGCCGAGAAUUCAAACUGGAUAACAGGCUCCAGAAGUCUGUGCUAACAGGAGUGGACAAAGCUGUGGCCUCUCACGGUCCUGCCUCUGGUGGCCGAGACUGGACAUCAGAAGGUCUCAUCCCCCAGCCCACGCAGUCAUGCAUUCGGAGUGAACAUGGGCAAGUGACAGCUUUCCUCUCCAAGCCUCAGUUACC
rnacentral:lncRNA from 1 species